AACGAACGCUGGCGGCAGGCCUAACACAUGCAAGUCGGACGGUAGCACAGAGGAGCUUGCUCUUCGGGUGACGAGUGGCGGACGGGUGAGUAAUGUCUGGGGAUCUGCCCGAUAGAGGGGGAUAACCACUGGAAACGGUGGCUAAUACCGCAUAACGUCGCAAGACCAAAGAGGGGGACCUUCGGGCCUCUCACUAUCGGAUGAACCCAGAUGGGAUUAGCUAGUAGGCGGGGUAACGGCCCACCUAGGCGACGAUCCCUAGCUGGUCUGAGAGGAUGACCAGCCACACUGGAAUUGAGACACGGUCCAGACUCCUACGGGAGGCAGCAGUGGGGAAUAUUGCACAAUGGGCGCAAGCCUGAUGCAGCCAUGCCGCGUGUAUGAAGAAGGCCUUCGGGUUGUAAAGUACUUUCAGCGGGGAGGAAGGCGAUGUGGUUAAUAACCGCGUCGAUUGACGUUACCCGCAGAAGAAGCACCGGCUAACUCCGUGCCAGCCGCCGCGGUAA
rnacentral:rRNA from 1 species